UGGGGAAUUUUGGACAAUGGGCGAAAGCCUGACGCAGCAACGCCGCGUGAGGGAUGACGGCCUUCGGGUUGUAAACCUCUUUUGUCAGGGAAGAUAGUGACGGUACCUGACGAAUAAGCCACGGCUAACUACGUGCCAGCAGCCGCGGUAAUACGUAGGUGGCAAGCGUUGUCCGGAUUUACUGGGCGUAAAGAGCGCGCAGGCGGUCGAUCAAGUCGCGUGUGAAAGCCCCCGGCUCAACUGGGGAGGGUCACGCGAUACUGACCGACUCGAAGGCAGGAGAGGGUAGUGGAAUUCCCGGUGUAGUGGUGAAAUGCGUAGAUAUCGGGAGGAACACCAGUGGCGAAGGCGACUACCUGGCCUGUUCUUGACGCUGAGGCGCGAAAGCUAGGGGAGCAAA
rnacentral:rRNA from 1 species